ACUAUUUAGGCGGAAUAGCGCGUUAAAUUUAGGAUUUAAAGGUGAUUUAUAAUCAAGUAGUG
rnacentral:tRNA from 1 species